GGUUGGUCCAAAGACAGUGAGUUAUCUCAGUUGAUUGUUCAUAGUCACAGAUGGAGCUCCUUGUUCUGCUCUCCCCACUUCUCACUACUGCCCUUGACUAGUCUUAG
rnacentral:Y_RNA from 1 species